AGCGAACGCUGGCGGCAGGCCUAACACAUGCAAGUCGAACGAACUCUUCGGAGUUAGUGGCGGACGGGUGAAUAACACGUGGGAACGUGCCUUUUGGUUCGGAAUAACUCAGGGAAACUUGUGCUAAUACCGAAUGUGCCCUUCGGGGGAAAGAUUUAUCGCCAUUAGAGCGGCCCGCGUCUGAUUAGCUAGUUGGUGAGGUAACGGCUCACCAAGGCGACGAUCAGUAGCUGGUCUGAGAGGAUGACCAGCCACACUGGGACUGAGACACGGCCCAGACUCCUACGGGAGGCAGCAGUGGGGAAUCUUGCGCAAUGGGCGAAAGCCUGACGCAGCCAUGCCGCGUGAAUGAUGAAGGUCUUAGGAUUGUAAAAUUCUUUCACCGGGGACGAUAAUGACGGUACCCGGAGAAGAAGCCCCGGCUAACUUCGUG
rnacentral:rRNA from 1 species